AAACCUGCCCAGAAGCGGGGGAUAACACCUGGAAACAGAUGCUAAUACCGCAUAACAACUUGGACCGCAUGGUCCGAGUUUGAAAGAUGGCUUCGGCUAUCACUUUUGGAUGGUCCCGCGGCGUAUUAGCUAGAUGGUGGGGUAACGGCUCACCAUGGCAAUGAUACGUAGCCGACCUGAGAGGGUAAUCGGCCACAUUGGGACUGAGACACGGCCCAAACUCCUACGGGAGGCAGCAGUAGGGAAUCUUCCACAAUGGACGAAAGUCUGAUGGAGCAACGCCGCGUGAGUGAAGAAGGGUUUCGGCUCGUAAAACUCUGUUGUUAAAGAAGAACAUAUCUGAGAGUAACUGUUCAGGUAUUGACGGUAUUUAACCAGAAAGCCACGGCUAACUACGUGCCAGCAGCCGCGGUAAUACGUAGGUGGCAAGCGUUGUCCGGAUUUAUUGGGCGUAAAGCGAGCGCAGGCGGUUUUUUAAGUCUGAUGUGAAAGCCUUCGGCUCAACCGAAGAAGUGCAUCGGAAACUGGGAAACUUGAGUGCAGAAGAGGACAGUGGAACUCCAUGUGUAGCGGUGAAAUGCGUAGAUAUAUGGAAGAACACCAGUGGCGAAGGCGGCUGUCUGGUCUGUAACUGACGCUGAGGCUCGAAAGUAUGGGUAGCAAACAGGAUUAGAUACCCUGGUAGUCCAUACCGUAAACGAUGAAUGCUAAGUGUUGGAGGGUUUCCGCCCUUCAGUGCUGCAGCUAACGCAUUAAGCAUUCCGCCUGGGGAGUACGGCCGCAAGGCUGAAACUCAAAGGAAUUGACGGGGGCCCGCACAAGCGGUGGAGCAUGUGGUUUAAUUCGAAGCUACGCGAAGAACCUUACCAGGUCUUGACAUACUAUGCAAAUCUAAGAGAUUAGACGUUCCCUUCGGGGACAUGGAUACAGGUGGUGCAUGGUUGUCGUCAGCUCGUGUCGUGAGAUGUUGGGUUAAGUCCCGCAACGAGCGCAACCCUUAUUAUCAGUUGCCAGCAUUAAGUUGGGCACUCUGGUGAGACUGCCGGUGACAAACCGGAGGAAGGUGGGGAUGACGUCAAAUCAUCAUGCCCCUUAUGACCUGGGCUACACACGUGCUACAAUGGAUGGUACAACGAGUUGCGAACUCGCGAGAGUAAGCUAAUCUCUUAAAGCCAUUCUCAGUUCGGAUUGUAGGCUGCAACUCGCCUACAUGAAGUCGGAAUCGCUAGUAAUCGCGGAUCAGCAUGCCGCGGUGAAUACGUUCCCGGGCCUUGUACACACCGCCCGUCACACCAUGAGAGUUU
rnacentral:rRNA from 2 species